CACCUACUCCCUAAGCCAAAUAUGGUAUAUAUGUCCUCCUGUGGCCAUGCAGCAUGCAAUAAAUUCAAAUAAAAGUUCAAACAGAACAAUUUGGCAUUAAUUGGAAAUAAUCUGUUGGGCAAAAUAUACGGUGCAAAAUUCACCACUCCUAAUCAUAUCACAUAAUUUUUUUCUAUACUUACACUAAGAGAGGUACUCUACAGCAAUGAAUCAAACAAUACAACAAAAGCUGAAGAACAUAAGAAGGCUAUAAAUUCAAUGAAAGGACUAAAUAGCUGGUUAUUCAUUCGAUCAAUUCAACUCUGUAACACGAACAUAGUAUUUAUCAACCAAAAAAAUCAACUAUUUUUAAUUCCCCAGAUAAUUCGACUUAAACACAAAAUAAAAAAUCAUAGAAUGUAAUAAAGACACUCAUAAAUGAAAAUUAACGAAGAUAGAAUUUUUUUGUAUUAUGCAAAAAGAAGUUAGAUUAAAUCAAGCAAAUUGAGACGAAUCUAGGGUAAAAUGGUAGAAAUUCGAGCCUGAGAGUGAAAAUAUUGUUGCGGGUUGACUUUGCAGAGAGAGUCCGAUCAGAAGGUCCGAAAACGAGUUGCGGGGUCAGGAUUUGGAACAUGAAUAUGGAACCGGAUCUAAGUUUGGCUGGUACACAUGAUGAUGGAUCGGGUUUACAGUAGUUUGGUAUUUUCCCUGUUUAUCUGUAUAACAAACUAGAGUUGGG
rnacentral:lncRNA from 1 species